UACAGAGGUCUCAAGCGUUGUUCGGAUUCAUUGGGCGUAAAGGGUGCGUAGGUGGCGGGGUAAGUCAGGUGUGAAAUCUCGAGGCUCAACCUCGAAACUGCACUUGAUACUGCCUUGCUCGAGUACUGGAGAGGAGAUUGGAAUUUACGGUGUAGCAGUGAAAUGCGUAGAUAUGACACAGAACACCAAUUGCGAAGGCAGCUCACAAAGCUGUAACUGACACUGAGGCACGAAAGCGUGGGGAUCAAACAGG
rnacentral:rRNA from 1 species